rnacentral:tRNA from 1 species
GCAGGUUAAAUGGCUUUCGGUGCCAUUCUGGGGCUUCCAACCCCUCAGAGCCGGUUCGAGUCCGGCUACCUGUGC